rnacentral:rRNA from 1 species
CCUACGGGAGGCAGCAGUAAGGAAUAUUCCUCAAUGGGCGAAAGCCUGACCGAGCCAAGUAGCGUGAGGGAUGAAUGCCCUACGGGUUGUAAACUUCUUUUAUAAAGGAAUAAAGUGAGGCACGUGUGCCUUUUUGUCUGGACUUUAUGAAUAAAGAUAGGCUAACUCCGUUCCAGCAGCCGCGGUAAUACGGAGGAUCCGAGCGUUAUCCGGAUUUAUUGGGUUUAAAGGGAGCGUAGGUGGUUUGUUAAGUCAGUUGUGAAAGUUUGCGGCUCAACCGUAAAAUUGCAAUUGAUACUGGCAGUCUUGAGUACAGUUGAGGUAGGCGGAAUUCGUGGUGUAGCGGUGAAAUGCUUAGAUAUCACGAAGAACUCCGAUUGCGAAGGCAGCUUACUAAACUGUCACUGACAUUGAUGCGCGAAAGUGUGGGUAUCAAACAGGAUUAGAUACCCUUGUAGUC